rnacentral:rRNA from 1 species
AUUGAACGCUGGCGGCAGGCCUAACACAUGCAAGUCGAACGAGUGGCGGACGUGUGAGUAAUGUCUGGGAAACUGCCUGAUGGAGGGGGAUAACUACUGGAAACGGUAGCUAAUACCGCAUCCCAUCAGAUGUGCCCCGAUGGGAUUAGCUAGUUGGUGGGGUAACGGCUCACCAAGGCGACGAACCCUAGCUGGUCUGAGAGGAUGACCAGCAACACUGGAACUGAGACACGGUCCAGACUCCUACGGGAGGCAGCAGUGGGGAAUAUUGCACAAUGGGCGCAAGCCUGAUGAAGCCAUGCCGCGUGUAUGAAGAAGGCCUUCGGGUUGUAAAGUACUUUCAGCGGGGAGGCGUUACCCGCAGAAGAAGCACCGGCUAACUCCGUGCCAGCAGCCGCGGUAAUUC